AUUGAACGCUGGCGGCAGGCCUAACACAUGCAAGUCGAGCGGAUGAAGGUAGCUUGCUACCUGAUUCAGCGGCGGACGGGUGAGUAAUGCCUAGGAAUCUGCCUGGUAGUGGGGGACAACGUUUCGAAAGGAACGCUAAUACCGCAUACGUCAUACGGGAGAAAGUGGGGGAUCUUCGGCCCUCACGCUACCAGAUGAGCCUAGGUACGAUUAGCUAGUUGGUGAGGUAAAGGCUCACCAAGGCGACGAUCGUUAACUGGUCUGAGAGGAUGAUCAGUCACACUGGAACUGAGACACGGUCCAGACUCCUACGGGAGGCAGCAGUGGGGAAUAUUGGACAAUGGGCGAAAGCCUGAUCCAGCCAUGCCGCGUGUGUGAAGAAGGUCUUCGGAUUGUAAAGCACUUUAAGUUGGGAGGAAGGGCAGUAAGUUAAUCCCUUGCUGUUUUGACGUUACCGACAGAAUAAGCACCGGCUAACUUCGUGCCAGCCGCCGCAGUAAGAC
rnacentral:rRNA from 1 species